rnacentral:rRNA from 1 species
AGCCUUCUUCGCAACUGGGUGCUUGGGGGCAGGAGAGGGGAGGGGAAUUCCCCAGCGCAGCGGUGAAACGCGUAGAUAUUGUGAGGAAACACCAGGCGGAAAGGGGGCUUUUUGGCCUGUUUCUGACGCUGAGGCGCGAAAGCGUGGGGAGGCAACGGGAUAAGAUAACCCCGGUAGUCAACCCCGUAAACGAUGGGUGCUAGGUGUAGGAGGUAUCGACCCCUUCUGUGCCGUAGUUAACACAAUAAGCACCCCGCCGGGGAGUACGGCCGCAAGGUGAAACUCAAAGGAAUUGACGGGGGCCCGCACAAGCGGCGGAGCAUGUGGUUUAAUUCGACGCAACGCGAAGAACCUUACCAGGGCUUGACAUCCCCUGACCGCGUAUGAAAGUACGUUUUUUAUCUUCGGAUAGACAGGGAGACAGGUGGUGCAUGGUUGUCGUCAGCUCGUGUCGUGAGAUGUUAGGUUAAGUCCCGCAACGAGCGCAACCCCUACGUCUAGUUGCUAACGUGUAACGAUGAGAACUCUAGACGGACUGCCGUUGACAAAACGGAGGAAGGUGGGGAUGACGUCAAAUCAUCAUGCCCCUUAUGUCCUGGGCUACACACGUGCUACAAUGGCCGGUACAAAGGGAAGCGAAGCCGCGAGGCGGAGCAAAUCCGAUAAAAGCCGGUCUCAGUUCGGAUUGCAGGCUGCAAUUCGC